CAUUUCUUGGGCCGCUCCCACGGCAUAUGGAGGUUCCCAGGCCAGGGGUCGAAUUGGAGCUGUAGCCGCCAGCCUACUCCAGAGCCACAGACGCGGGAUCUGAGCCGUGUCUGCAGCCUAUACCACAGCUCAUGGUAACGCUGAUCCUUAACCUACCGAGCAAGGCCAGGGAUCGAACCCACAACCUCAUGGUUCCUAGUCGGAUUCAUUAAUCACGGAGCCAUGAUGGGAACUCUGGAAACAUGUGUGUAUUAAAGAAUGAAUGGGAGUGUGCUCAGUGCUGUGGGAGAGGCAAUGGACAUGAAUUCCACUCUCAAGGAAUUUCAAAUCUAGUGGCAGAGGCCUAACUACAUUGCAAAAGAUGACAAAGCCAGUUAGAGGCUGAGCUGAGAAUAGGACUUGGGCCCCCUGACUCUCCUUUCAGCAUCCCUGGUAACUGACUUUAAAAAGGAAAACACAAGCAUACUUUCUGAGACCUUAAGUGUAUAGCUAUUUUACAUUGUCAUCUUUUUUCCCUCAUUAAAUGAAUAAGGCAUGCAUAAAUAUUACAAGAGAGAAUUGGUAAGGCUAAGUCUGAGAGUGUAUAUUUAUGUCUUACUGAGUCUGCAUAAUGCAUUAGCUUCAGGUCCAGAAGAAAUUUUUUAAAGAUGGGGUCCGAAAACAGGCCGAUGUUGGGGGUCGGCCUCAGAAAGAUUUAAGAAGUUUAGUGUGGCCUUGGAAGAGUGGGCUCAGGUGGAGCUCCCCAAGUCGGGCACCUGAGAGGCAGGUAAAGAUGAGGACUAAGCACCACGGGGAUGAUGCAGAGCUUAUGAGGUGAACGGACCCAAGUUUGGUUUAGUGAACUCAUUUGACACUUUGGUCAGCAACAUACAUCCUUCCUACUUACACACAACUUUGGGAAAGUCCUGGUUGCCUACCUCGACCAUUGACUAAGAAAUUAUAAAUUAAGUGACUUUAAUGACUAGAGGAGAGGAAGAGGAGAGGAAGACACACUUUCGUUCCUUGUUGCCCGGUCACAUGGGGAGCAUGCUCUGAAGACAAGAGUAUUCGUAUAUUAUUACAUAAUAGUAGUCUAGAUUGCAGACUAGCAUAACUGUUAUGUAAAUUUUUACCUAUUUCAAAUGUGUCUUUUAAAAGUAUAUUUAAAAUUCCCUCUACAAAAACACCAUUUGAUAAUUGCUCCUUCCGUGUUUUGAUUCAAUCUUUUUGUAUUAAUAAAUGAAAAAAAAAAUCCACAGCUCUAAACAUGGUAAAGUGAAGCAACAAUAUGUGAGUAUUCCCAUACACUUUGAAAUUUUACAUUCAGAGUACGGGCAUAUGACACAUUCAUAAAUAUUUUUUUUUUUGUUCCCAAGUGUGCUAAUGUUGGCUGCUAAGAUGCACUUAGUUCACAAACACUUACAUUUCAGAAACAGCUUACAGAGAAGCAUCCAAACGCCACCUUUUAUGAUUGCUUUUUCACUCACAGAUAUAUUAAUCAUCAGUCUAAGACUGAGAAACUAUCUUUUCCUGCAUAAUCCAAAAUGAAGUUGUUAUUGGUGAACAAAAUUACCUAUUCAUAUGAGACCUUUCAUAUAAAAGAGGAUAUUUAAAGCAUUUGUGAGCUAGUUUCACUUUUAUUACUUGUUUAAUAUAUCAGAGUUGUAUACACACCAAAAUAAGGUGCCAAAUUGCUCUGUUACUGAGAUGAAGUCACAUACAACCCAGAUAUUCCACUUUAGACUGCAUGCGAUGGGACUUAAAGUGAACAGAAUCCAUGUACAUCAGAUCGAGUAGAGAUUUUCAGAGAAUCUUCAUUUUUAAAAACUGAAGUAGAAUUAAUUACAAAAUGGUAAUUAUUUUCAGAGUACAGCAUAGGAAUGCAAUAUUUUUAUAGCUUAUACUCCAUACAAUGUUACCACUAAAUAUCGACACGACUCCCUGUGCUGUGCAUUACAUCUUUGUAACAUUCAUUUUAUACCUAGUAAUUUGUGCCUCUUCUAUCCCCUGUACCUAUUUUGCCCCUCUCCCGACUCCUCUGCUCUCUGGUAACCACUAGCUUGUUCUCUGUAUCUGUGAAAUAGUAUGGUUCUGGCAUAAGAACAGACACAUAGAUGAAUGCAAUAGAAUAAAAAGCCCAGAAAUCAACCCAGGCACCUACGGCUGAGAAGCUUCAUUUUUGAGGCCAGUGUGACCGAAAGGCUUCUGUUGAUAAUACAGGAUGUUGCCCUGCCUUAAGUAAUUUAUUUAUUUUUUGUCUUUUUGCCAUUUCUUGGGCCGAUCCUGCAGCAUAUGGAGGUUUGCAGGCUAGGGGUUGAAUCGGAGCUGUAGCUGCCAGCCUACACCAGAGCCAAAGCAACGCAGGAUCCGAGCCUCAUCUGCAACCUACACCACAUCUCACGGCAACGCCGGAUCCUUAGGAUCCUUAACCCACUGAGCAAGGCCAGGGAUCGAACCCACAACCUCAUGGUUCCUAGUCAGAUUCGUUAACCACUGAGCCACGACAGGAACUCUGUGCUGUGCCUUUAAUGGUGCACACCACUUCCUGCUGCUCCGAAAAUUGAGUUGAACCUCACCUGAGCUUCUCAGGCGUUCACACAGGGAUGGAACAAGACCUGAUGCUUUGAAAUGAGAACACGGCAACUACACUGUGAGCUGGAAGCUGGUAAAUAGGUUUCCGUAGGGGAAGCUACAGUGCUGGGUGGACAUAGGGAGAGGAAAGCAAGAGAAAAAGGGAAGAAGGAAGGAGAGAAGAGAGACCUGGCACUAGAUUUCCGUCUUUACUGUUAACACAGUGUUGGGGCUUAGCAGCAGAUGGGUGACCACUAGCAAAUCUUUUAGCUACUGAUGGCAGUUUCAUUCUCUUAUCCUCUCACUGGAUUAUGGGGAGGGCUGGCAUCUCUAGGAAGAAGGCCUUUGAGGACUAUAAACUCUUGACAUCAUUCUUAAGGAAUUUUUACCAUUAGCAUCAUUGCAUCACCCAGAAAGAGGCUGAUUACUCAUGGUUAAUAAUAAACAGAAUCAAAGAAAAGCCAUGUUCGAUCACCUACCAACUUAGGGAAAAAUGGAAUCACAGAUGGUCACAGGCCUGGUACACGAUCAAGCGGACCAAACUAAGUGCCUCAUUGCAAUAAGUUUAUCCCUCUGGAAAGUACUAGACUAGAAAUGACCAUCCAAACACUGAAGGAAGCCCUGUGGUUGUUUUAGGAAAGCAGGUCUCAAGGUAAAUAAUACUGUGGUGCAUGUUUGAAAGUGGCUAAGAGGGUGGAUCUCAAAAGUCUCCAUCACAAGAAAAAAAAAUAACUAUGGAUAGUGAUGGGUGUUAAUUUAUUGCGAUCAUCAUUUUGCAAUAUACACAAUUAUUAAAUCAUUCGUUGUACACCUGAAACGAAUAUAAUGUUAUAUGUGAUUAUACCUCCAUAAAAGUAUUUAAAAGCUGGUCUCUGUUGAAGUGACAUCAAAUCUAGUCAUGCAGAACCCAGUGACUGUCUCUCCUGUCCUUUGUCUUAUAUUCCUAGAUGUUCCAUCGACCUUGGCUGGUUUAGAUGAAAUGCUGUCAGUGCCCCUUUCAAGUAAUAUGUUAAACAUUGAAAUGUGAGGGAAUUGUAAGUAUCCCAAAUAUUCAUAUAGCCACUUUGAUUUUCCCUUCCCCACGGCAUCCCCUUCACAUAAGCAAUACGAAUUAAAAAACUUCUUUGCUUAGAAUUAUUGGUUUAUGUUUAAUUAUCUGUGUGAUUUGGGACACGUGACUUACUUGAGUCCUGUUUUCUUCAUUUGUACACAAGAGACAUUAUAUCAGUUGAUAUCUGCAGUUACCGUUAACUCUAAUUCAUGCUAAGAAUCUAUGACAUGAGUGAGACCAAGACGACAUCAACACCAACAUGUCAAAGUCAUGCCAUUUUAGCUCAUACUUCCAUUUAAAACGAUUCUUCUUACCAACAUGAAACAGAAUACAGAGGGCACUUAAUUAAAUACGUGCUAAGCCAUCAGAUAAGAUAAUUUACACCAACCAAACGUAAAAUGGUUUAUUAAAAUGCUUUCACUAGUGCCCUAUCCCAAGAUCCUCUAUUAUGCAUUUCUAACUUCCAUCAACUUUCUAAUUAAAAAAAGACAAAAUGCAAACUUUUAUUAAAGGAUUUUAAAACAUGUCAAAGAAUUUAGAGAGGUAUGCCUUUGCUUUUUAAUGAAAAACCAAAUUCAAAUUGACAGAGUAGUGAUAAAACAGUGGAUGAAAAGAUAUAGGAAAUUAUUUUUACCUGGUUAAAGUGACACCAGGGUUUAGCUCAUUGUCCGUUUGUUCAUUUGAAAAUAAAGUGGCCUACAUGCAGCUUCUGUAACUCCUUAAGUGAGCCUUAGCAUGGAAAAAUACCCAUGAAUGCGCACAAAUAAAUAUUUCUUUGUUAAAUAUCAAAAAGGGAAUAUUUACAUCUUGCAUACAAUAUUAUACUCCACAUUUUGAAAGCAAACACAAUACUCCUUAAUGCUACUUAUCAUUUUUAAUCCCCAAAGUUAUUUUGAAAACAAGAAUACCAAAUGAUUCUUGUUUGGUAAUCACAGGAAAAUAUGUCCAUAGGACAUUUAAGAUGAAUUAUUACAAUGAGUCUGUUGUAAAAACAGUAUAUUUUAUGGGUCAGAAUGACAUAGAAUAUUUAUCUUCAUCAUAAGAAAGAGUCUCUGUGAAUUAGUUAUGGUGUUAGCUCUCUAGAGCAAUCAAUUCUCUCCUCACUCGUGGAAUAAAUAUAUUUUACUGCGGUCAUCAUGCAUUCUUGUAGACUGCUAAGGGCUUCAGACUGCUCUCAGGUUCAUGGGUACAUAAAUUUAUUUCUGUGGGUGUAGCCCCACAUGAUCUGCAUACUGAGGAUAGAAAGCAGAAAUUUGCAGAUUUAUUCCCAAAUGAGUGCAGAAUGUCAGGAAAUAAAAAUAUAUAUAUUAGUCUUAUUGUCCUGUCAAAGUAUUUUGCUUUUUAAUUUAGUCAAAUAAUAUGCAUCAAGACACUUCAGCAAGAUGAACUACCUGUCUCUUAGGAAAUCAGAGAAAAGCAUACCAAGGUUGAAGUUCCCACCUUCUUUCCUACUCAGAAAGCCAUUUACAAACUCCUCUGGCUCGCCUGCACACAUUGAAGAAAGAAAUUCAAAUUCAGACAAACUGCAUCUCAGCACCUUAUAUGUGAAUACUAUCAUGAAACCUUUAUGAGUAGUGUUUGAGAAUCCAUAGAAAAGAUAAACAAUGUCAGAAGUCUUCAAACUUGGGCAUAUAUCCUGGUUUUCAAAAAUGGAAUAAAGAAGAACCCCAGAACACUGGACCACUGAGCUUACAACAUUCUGGAAUGAAUUAGUAAAUCAAUGAUUUUUUGGUACACAGAAAAAAAAUCAGUAAUUGGUAGGAGUCAAUAUGGAUUAUACAAAUAAAUCAUACAAAUAUAUUUUAAUUUCUCUUUUUAAUAUGUUAAAAUAAGCUAUAUAAAAUAUGUUAAUGUCUUUUUUUUUAGAUUGAUCAGAGAAAUGCUAAACAGAGUAUACAUUUUAUUUCAGCAAAGCUAUUGAAAAGGGUUAACAUAUUGUUGUAGCAGAAAACUUAGAAAAUAUAAUUGUUAGACUAACGAAAGGAACAGAUGCUUCCAGGAUGGUCAAAUAUUAAUUGAUUAAUUAAUAUUAAUUAAUGAUUUAUUUCUGAAAUGUCCAGAUGCUUCAUUUCCUGUAGGUAAAAAAAUCUGACUCUUUUUCCCUUUAUAUUAAACCGUUUGGUAUUACGCAGCUCUAGCUGUGAAACCAGUCCUACGAAAAGGAUUAAAAGUAGAAUUAAAUAACAUUCAAGAGUUUCCAUAUUAGAUUUCUUAAUGGAUAUCAUGUCUGAUUUUCAUCAUCUCCGUGUGCAUUUCUCUCAGAGCCUGAGAACUUCUGUCAAUGCUUUUCAUUGUUGCUGGGAUUAGCAGUGUUUUUUUGAUGGACAAUUUCCUAAUGCGGUUUUGUACUUACAGAGUGGGGACUCGAUUUUCCUUUAAAAUUUUUAAUGGCUACAAAUAGAAAGCUUGUAGCAGUGAAUAGGUCUAGGAGCCCUGGUUGUCUCAAAUUAAAAUGCCUGUGGAAGAAGAGAGCCGGGGGAUCUAGGGCAAAUGUGAUGGCUGUUGAGGGAAAGCACAAUUGAUAAUGUGUUAAUGACAUGAUUUAUGACCGGAUGCCUGGCAAUUUUUCCCCCCAGCUACACUGCUUCAUUUUUAAAAUUAUGAUUAAAAACUCCCAUCAUAUGAUUUACCAUCUUGGGGAGUUCCCGUUGUGGCACAGUGGAAAUGAGUCCGACUAGGAACUACGGGGUUGUGGGUUCGAUCCCUGGCCUCGCUCAGUGGGUAAAGGAUCCGGUGUUGCUGUGGCUGUGGUGCGGGUUGGCAGCUACAGCUCUGAUUAGACCCCUAGCCUGGGAACCUCCAUAUGCCGUGGGUGUGGCCCUAAAAAGAUGAAAGCCAAAAAAAAAAAAAAAAGAUUUACCAUCUUAAUUAAUUUUUAGACGGACUGUUCAGGAGUGUUAAGCAGACUCACUUAUUGUGAAACAAAUCUCCAGAACUUUUUCAUUCUGCAGAUAUGAAACCUAAUACUCAUUAAAUAACUUGUUUCAUUUUUAACUAUACCUUUAUUCAUUUUUUUUUUCUUUCUCUCUUUUGGCCACAUCUAUAGCAUAUGGAAGUUCCCAGUCCAGAGGCUGCAUCUGAGCAGCAGCUGUGACCUACAGCACAGCUUCAGCAACACCAGAUCCUUAAAACGCUGUGCCACCAAGGAUCUCCUACAGGACUUUUAUUUCUACAUUAUUUUAUUGUCUUCAAAACACUUUCACAUAUGUUAUCUAAUUUGAUAUUUCAUUUACUUAAAAUGUUAAUAAUAUUUCAUAUGCUUAAGCAUGUACUUUGUGCUGAGUAUUGUGCUAAAUGCACAAUAAAUAUUCUAAAUAUUUUUCUCAAGGGAAUCACUGUGGGAACUAUCUUUUUUUUUCCUGCGUUUAUGGCUUCAUAUUGCCCCUUAUGUAUCUUCAAAAAUAUUUUACCAAAAAUGUUUCACUAUAGAAAAUGUAAGAUAUAUUAAAUGUAUUGUUACCAUGAAUAGAAAGUUCCAUAGGUACUAAGUUUAUGAUCUUUUUUUUUUUAGUAUCAAAUAUGGUUAUUUUUAUAUUGACAUAUACAAAAAUUUCUUUUACAUGUUUUAGUCUCAAUCUCAACAUUUUCCUAAUGACAAGGAAUAGUAUGAUUAGUGUUUAUCUUGAGCUAUCACUGAUUCAUUGCUGCAGCAGCCAGGUUUUGAGAAAAAUGAGAUCAUCAAGUCUCUUCCUUUUGUUUUCCCCUCAUACACACGCACAGUUGUUUAUCCUGAUGUCUAACAUUUAAAAAUAUAUCUUUUCUAGGAUGCUUAGAGUCCAUUCCCAAGAAACAGU
rnacentral:lncRNA from 1 species